rnacentral:rRNA from 1 species
AGUGAACGCUGGCGGUAGGCCUAACACAUGCAAGUCGAACGGCAGCACAGUAAGAGCUUGCUCUUACGGGUGGCGAGUGGCGGACGGGUGAGGAAUACAUCGGAAUCUACUUUUUCGUGGGGGAUAACGUAGGGAAACUUACGCUAAUACCGCAUACGACCUACGGGUGAAAGCAGGGGAUCUUCGGACCUUGCGCGAUUGAAUGAGCCGAUGUCGGAUUAGCUAGUUGGCGGGGUAAAGGCCCACCAAGGCGACGAUCCGUAGCUGGUCUGAGAGGAUGAUCAGCCACACUGGAACUGAGACACGGUCCAGACUCCUACGGGAGGCAGCAGUGGGGAAUAUUGGACAAUGGACGCAAGCCUGAUCCAGCCAUACCGCGUGGGUGAAGAAGGCCUUCGGGUUGUAAAGCCCUUUUGUUGGGAAAGAAAAGCAGCAGGUUAAUACCCCGCUGUCCUGACGGUACCCAAAGAAUAAGCACCGGCUAACUUCGUG